rnacentral:rRNA from 1 species
GAUGAACGCUAGCUACAGGCUUAACACAUGCAAGUCGAGGGACCGGCGCACGGGUGAGUACCACGUAUCCAACCUGCCCUUUACUCGUGUAUAGCCUUUCGAAAGAACGAUUAAUACCCGAUAUAAAGGAUGGGGGUGCGUUCCAUUAGGUUGUUGGUGAGGUACCGGCUCACCAAGCCUUCGAUGGAUAGCGGUUCUGAGAGGCAGGUCCCCCACAGUGGAACGGAGACACGGGCCAAACUCCGACGGGAGGCAGCAGUGAGGAAUAGUGGUCAAUGGGGGCUAGGCUGAACCAGCCAAGUAGCGUGAAGGAUGAAGGCUUAUGGGUCGUAAACUUCUUUUAUAUAAGAAUAUGUAUUAGAUGAAUAAGGAUCGGCUAACUCCGAGCCAGCAGCCGCGGGAAUAC